rnacentral:rRNA from 1 species
AUACAUGAAGUCGAGCGGACGAUUCAAAAGCUUGCUUUUGGAUCGUUAGCGGCGGACGGGUGAGUAACACGUGGGCAACCUGCCCUGUAGACGGGGAUAACACCGAGAAAUCGGUGCUAAUACCGGAUAAUACGAAAGGCCGCAUGGUCUUUCGUUGAAAGACGGCGCAAGCUGUCGCUACAGGAUGGGCCCGCGGCGCAUUAGCUAGUUGGUGAGGUAACGGCUCACCAAGGCGACGAUGCGUAGCCGACCUGAGAGGGUGAUCGGCCACACUGGGACUGAGACACGGCCCAGACUCCUACGGGAGGCAGCAGUAGGGAAUCUUCCGCAAUGGACGAAAGUCUGACGGAGCAACGCCGCGUGAGCGAAGAAGGCCUUCGGGUCGUAAAGCUCUGUUGUUAGGGAAGAACAAGUACCGCAGUCACUGGCGGUACCUUGACGGUACCUAACGAGGAAGCCACGGCUAACUACGUGCCAGCA